AAGCCGGCUUCACGCACCCGCACGGGGUCGCUGUGGCCUCAGGCCCUGUCUCCUCCAAGACGCGCAUGGCUACUUUUCACUGAGUAAAAACGAUGUAUUGUCAGCAAAGAACCCCAAGUAAACCUUAUUUAAAGUCUAAUGGAUGGGGAGCCUCACACUGGAAUAGGGGGUGUCUGUCCUGAGAACUCUCCUCAAUAAACCUGUGUGUGCUAAUUCUCCAUCUUGGAUUCUGUUCCCAGGGACCCCAGUCUAAGACAGUGCCAGCUUCUGAAUCAACAAAGGUGACAAGAGGUGGGACUAUGCUGAUGAAGUAGGACUAGUUUGCACGCCAUGUUAUAGACCAGGGCUGGGAUCAAUCUCUCCCAAAG